CCCUUAGAUGUUCUGGGCCGCACGCGUGCUACACCGAGUGGAUCAGCGGGUCAGGUUACGCGAGAGCGUUUCCUAAUCUUCAAAUCCGCUCGUGAUGGGGAUUGACGGUUGCAAUUUUCCGUCAUGAACGAGGAAUACCUUGUAAGCGCGGGUCAUCAUCCCGCGCUGAAUACGUCCCUGCCCUUUGUACACACCGCCCGUCGCUCCUACCGAUUGAGUGGUCCGGUGAGGCUUUGGGAUCUAAGCGAAAAGAGCGUUUCGCUCCUUUUGCUGGGAGAACUCAGUCGAACCUUAUCAUUUAGAGGAAGGAGAAGUCGUAACA
rnacentral:rRNA from 1 species